CGCUGAGAUACUGCGGGUAGCCCAGUUGGGGGAAGGACAUCUCCAAGGCGCAAACACAGCAGCGACGGCGGCGACGGCGGCGGAGGCAGCAGAAGUCGAAUUAAAGGGAGAAGAAAAUCAACUUCACUCAUUCCCAUUCUCGUUUGACUGCUUCCUCGCAUUCCUCACAGCUGUAAUACUUUCCUACCGCCCUCCCAGAAAACUGGUCAUCGGCUCUUCAUGGCUUCUUCACAUAUGUUCACCUUAAGGGAGAUGCGAGGACGUCCCAAGAAAACCUUGGAGAUCUUCUCAAAAAAGAAGAGACCGAUCACUCCAGUAUCUGUCAAGAAAACCUUAUGGACAUUAUGGUCCACGGAGCCAUGAAGAGUUGGACACCACUGACUGACUGAUUGAUGGGAAGAGGAAGGUGAAGUCCAAGCAGGAUAAUGGCCUGAGAAAAUAUCAAGGGGUAGUAUUUUCAAUGAGGAUGAGAUAUAUGCUUAGGAAGUGUGAAGUAAACUGAGAGAUAGAAUAAAACAUAGAUGUAAGGUAGAAGAAUGGCAGAGUAUUAAUUCAAUAAAUUUAUGAUAAAA